CUUUCCCUUCCCCUCCCGAUCCUCAUACGCCCGAUCCCCUUCUCUCCCUUCUCCACUUCGCCAACGCCACUCCACCGCCGCCUCCCCGCGCAGGAUUGAGCCGACAAUGUCGGUGUCGUCCAACAAUUUCCUUCUCCUCUCACCGCCGCAAACCCUGAUUCCCCUCUUCUCUUUUGCCUCUGCCCGUGCGCCGCCGACCUCGACGUCAAAGCCACUCUGCCUUGUCAUUGCUCCUUCUGAUCGAUCGAGGCUGAAGCAGAUCUGCCUCGUCAGCGCUUCUUUCCACUUGAUCACCAUUGAAGUUGCUUCGCCGUUGGGUGCCGCUGUCGCCGGAGGAAGGAUUGACGCAAAGGGGAGGCUAGGGCUUACUCUCUUUCUCCUCUCGACGUCGCCGGCGCAAAGCUACUAUUAGUGCGUUGAGGGGGGAACUUGCUACAACCGACCCUUCUCUUCUCUGACCUCUACAAGUGGUAGCGUCAAGUCCUCCACCCCCUUGCCAUUGCCGCACCCACUUCCUCCAUCAGAGUGAAAUCUCAGCCUCUAGAGUCUGAUCUGGAUCUUCGCCACCUCCUCCCAGUCUCUAUUGGACGCAGCUAGCCCUAGAUCAACAUCGGCGCCCCUUCCUUCCAUAAACUCGUUGCUGCUUUCUGUGAACCACCAUCGCAACUGUGUACUGCCACCACAGUAGCAGUCAUUGUUGGCUGCUAGCAGCAAUCACCGAUCCAGGACUAUCGUUGGCCGCAGGCUUGGCUAUCAGGAGUUGGUUAGAGGAAUCUGUCGACACAUUUAGAUAAGACUGUUGAACUGAGCUUGAAGUGGAUUGCAAUGUUAAUUUACCGAUUAUGAUUUUAGGGUAAUUGAUGUGAGGAUCAGUGGGCAAUCCACAGCUCCGGCCACAAAUUUCCAACGCCAAGAUCUUUGGCCAUGAGCAAUAGAGGAGCAAUCACAUUAGGACGUUGAUUCGAGACGAGCAUCUCGACGUGGGAUUGUUAGCACGAUAGACAAAUAAAGGCGGGUACGUUUGACUUAUCUCUUUAGAUAUUGUCAUUAUGAUAUAUUUAGUAGGUUAUAACUAGUAGUAAUGGUUAUGUUUAUAUCUGCUUAGUAUGUCACCACUUGAUAGUCGUAGUUUGCCCUUAUUAUUAUCUAUUGUGCAUUCAUGCUUAUGUUCUCUUAUUUCUUGCCAUGUGUACUUAUGUAGUGGCAUUCAAUGUAUUACCGGAUACAGGUCUAGCUACUAGUUUAUUUCCUAGCAUGUGUACCUAGCUUUAUUACCUGUCAUGUGUACCUAGGUGUAUUUCUUUGCAUGUGUACAUAGGUUUGUUUUCUGGCAUGUGUAUCUAGAUCAUUGUUAUGGACUUGGUUUCCUUUUGGUACACAUUAUGGGAAGGUUGGUAUUUUCAGGAUUUACAUGCUUAGUGUCAUGCAUUAUUUUGCAUGAUUGCAUGCUGAGCGAUUGUCGGCUCCAUUAUUGUUGAGCACAUCGCCAGUUACAUGGAUCUGCACAUACAACCACUCAUGGGUUAGUGGUAUAUUAGGCAGGGUAUGUGGUAGUUUGCUCUGUAAGUGCUCUGUUGGUCCACUCAUGGGUAGUAUGACGCGGCGUGAUAGCAUGACAGAGAUCCCUCCUCUAGACUGUCUCAAGGAGAUGAGAGCAUUGAGCUCCCCCACUUAUGAUUUGGAGUAGGAGUAUAGGUGUACUUCAACAGCAUCCUGUCCACUCGGUCACUCAGGAGUAGUGAUGGUAGAGUGUACAGUUGUCAUAGUCCUACCCACUCGGUCUCAUCAUUGCGUGUGAGAUGGCUGACUGGGGUCAAGGGUGGUCAUGUCAUUUUUGCAUCAUAUGCAUGGAUUGUAUCUAUUGUUUGUGCUUGCUACAUUAUGUAUGUUGCAUUUUGGUGGUUGCAUAUGAUUGACAUGCAUACAGGAUACAUUAUGUAUUUGGUUUGGUGACCCUGCAUCUAUUGGUGUGGCUCCCACCCUUAUGUCAUGAUAGGAGACUCUGGUGAGUACAGUUCUUCUUUCCUUGUUUCAAUUUUGCAUUACAUGUUAUUGUUCAAGAGACUAUACUCCAUGAUUAUUACUAGUAGUUAUUUCUUACUAUGCAUGUUAGAUUGAUACACAUUGAGUUGUUGAACUCACUCCGUUGCAUUAUUCCUAUUACAGGUAGAUGAUUAAGCAGUUGCUUGGAGGAAUCCUGUAUGUCGGUCCCUCGUCAUAUUAGAAGACGGUUUUACUUCGCUUUUAUUUUCUUUUAUAUAUAUUCUUUAAUGUUUUAGCAUUGUAUUGGUGUUUAGCCAUGUGGUUAUUGUCUUUGAUUUUUGGUGUUGUAUUUGUGUUUAAGUCGUGCCAACAUGCAUUAUCUUGUUUUGGUUUGUAUGGGCUUUCCGUUUA